AAGCAUGCCAGUUGUUCAGAGAAGAUUUACUGAACUGUUACUCUGAAAGUCCACGCCUCUCUCUAUCACUCGACAUGUUUGACGCAGAAGAAGAACAGGACAGUGCAUUCAUUUCAUUCUAUAAGCAGAAUAAUGUGAACUGGGCAGCUCCAUUCAAGUGCAGGCUGAGAGGAGAUGCAGCAGUGGGUGAUGGUGUCAACAGACAUGUUUUGUCAAUGGCCAUGCAGAAAUUGAAAACUGGCUUCAGAAUAAAUUUAGGCUCUGCUGCUUCUACAACC